AUUGAACGCUGGCGGCAGGCCUAACACAUGCAAGUCGAACGGUAGCACAGAGAGCUUGCUCUCGGGUGACGAGUGGCGGACGGGUGAGUAAUGUCUGGGAAACUGCCCGAUGGAGGGGGAUAACUACUGGAAACGGUAGCUAAUACCGCAUAACGUCGCAAGACCAAAGUGGGGGACCUUCGGGCCUCACACCAUCGGAUGUGCCCAGAUGGGAUUAGCUAGUAGGUGGGGUAAUGGCUCACCUAGGCGACGAUCCCUAGCUGGUCUGAGAGGAUGACCAGCCACACUGGAACUGAGACACGGUCCAGACUCCUACGGAAGGCAGCAGUGGGGAAUAUUGCACAAUGGGCGCAAGCCUGAUGCAGCCAUGCCGCGUGUAUGAAGAAGGCCUUCGGGUUGUAAAGUACUUGCAGCGGGGAGGAAGGCGGUGAAGUUAAUAGCUUCACCGAUUGACGUUACCCGCAGAAGAAGCACCGGCUAACUCCGUGCCAGCAGCCGCGGUAA
rnacentral:rRNA from 1 species